UACGAAGGGUGCAAGCGUUGCUCGGAAUUAUUGGGCGUAAAGGGUCGGUAGGUGGUAAUAAAAGUCUGGGGUGAAAUCCCUGAGCUCAACUCAGGACGUGCCUUGGAAACUUUAUUACUAGAGUGCUGGAGAGGUCCGCAGAAUUCCCGGUGUAGCGGUGAAAUGCGUAGAGAUCGGGAGGAAUACCAGAGGCGAAGGCGGCGGACUGGACAGUCACUGACACUCAACUACGAAAGCGUGGGUAGCAAACAGG
rnacentral:rRNA from 1 species